rnacentral:snRNA from 1 species
GGUGUAUUGGGCACAGAAGCAAG